rnacentral:rRNA from 1 species
GAUCAUGGCUCAGGAUGAACGCUGGCGGCGUGCCUAACACAUGCAAGUCGAGCGAAGCACUUUGCUUAGAUUCUUCGGAUGAAGAGGAUUGUGACUGAGCGGCGGACGGGUGAGUAACGCGGUGGGUAACCUGCCUCAUACAGGGGGAUAACAGUUAGAAAUGACUGCUAAUACCGCAUAAGACCACAGCACCGCAUGGUGCGGGGUAAAACUCCGGUGGUAUGAGAUCGG